AGAAACCAACAGGGAUUGCCCUAGUAACGGCGAGUGAAGCGGCAACAGCUCAAAUUUGAAAUCUGGCCCCAGGCCCGAGUUGUAAUUUGCAGAGGAUGCUUUUGGCAAAGCGCGUACCGAGUCCCCUGGAACGGGGCGCCACAGAGGGUGAGAGCCCCGUAUGGUGCGACGCCGAGCCUCUGUAAAGCUCCUUCGACGAGUCGAGUAGUUUGGGAAUGCUGCUCUAAAUGGGAGGUAAAUUUCUUCUAAAGCUAAAUACCGGCCAGAGACCGAUAGCGCACAAGUAGAGUGAUCGAAAGAUGAAAAGCACUUUGAAAAGAGGGUUAAAUAGCACGUGAAAUUGUUGAAAGGGAAGCGCUCGUGACCAGACUUGCGCCGGGCGGAUCAUCCAGCGUUCUCGCUGGUGCACUCCGCCCGGCUCAGGCCAGCAUCGGUUUUCGCCGGGGGACAAAAGCUUCGGGAACGUGGCUCCCUUCGGGGAGUGUUAUAGCCCGUUGCUUAAUACCCCGGCGGGGACCGAGGACCGCGCUUCGGCAAGGAUGCUGGCGUAAUGGUCAUCAGCGACC
rnacentral:rRNA from 1 species